GAUGAACGCUAGCGACAGGCUUAACACAUGCAAGUCGAGGGGCAGCGGAAUUAGUAGCAAUACUAAUUGCCGGCGACCGGCGCACGGGUGAGUAACGCGUAUGCAACCUACCUAUCAGAGGGGGAUAGCCCAUUGAAAGAUGGAUUAACACCGCAUAAAACAGGGGUCCCGCAUGGGAAUAUUUGUUAAAUAUUUAUAGCUGAUAGAUGGGCAUGCGUUCCAUUAGUUAGUUGGUAUGGGUAACGGCCUACCAAGACAUCGAUGGAUAGGGGUUCUGAGAGGAAGGUCCCCCACACUGGUACUGAGACACGGACCAGACUCCUACGGGAGGCAGCAGUGAGGAAUAUUGGUCAAUGGACGAGAGUCUGAACCAGCCAAGUCGCGUGAAGGAUGACUGCCCUAUGGGUUGUAAACUUCUUUUAUAUGGGAAUAAAAAAGGGAACGCGUUCUCUAUUGCAUGUACCAUUAUGAAUAAGCAUCGGCUAACUCCGUGCCAGCCGCCGCAGUAACAC
rnacentral:rRNA from 1 species